UUAAAAAGCAGUUAUACGUCCAAGAACAUGCCCUUUACAUGUGCCAGUCCGUACUUUCCUCGCUCCAUCAAACGCUAGCGCGCUGGCGACAUUCAGCGGAGCAACAAUCUUGCCGUGACUGCAUCUUCUCCAACAGAGAGGUUCCUGCUGCACCACACGCCCCUUGGGAUUACUAAAAUGUAAAAGUUGCUGCCUACAAAGAAGUUGAAAACCUUCUGCAUAAAUAAAGAGGAUCAGUAAAAGCCCAGUAUAUGGCCCCAAUAAUUAACCAGAGGAGGUCCGGCGGAGGAAGCCCUAAUAAGGAAAAAGCGUCAACGGGGAAAAUGGACAAAUACCUCAAAUCGCCAGUUUCUGCCACCACAACCAGAGGCCACGGCCAUAAAGAUAAGGACAAAGAUAAGUUUCCUAAACCAUCAAAUGACUUUCCUUCAGGGUCUCGAUAUGCGCCAUUAAAUGAGAAAGAAAAUGGGGCAGCGCAAGACACCUAUGAGAUGCAAUCAGGGAUUAAUGGCCCAACGGUUUUAGAGGACAUUUUGCUGGAACUCAUUGGGUAAUCUCACCACUCAAGUGGACGGCAUUACUGCUGAAAUAUCUCUGAUUAGAGGUGAUACAGCUAAAAUAAGAGAUAAAAUAAAGUGAAUGGAAGCAAAAGUUCUGUUG